rnacentral:lncRNA from 1 species
CUCUUGCUCUUGCUCUUGCUCUUCCUCCUCCUCUCUGUGGAGCUGCCAUGUGAGCCCUGGAAGACAGGACGCCUUCCACCAGUGUACUCCAUAAGGGGCACUUGCACUUCAUGUUUUCCUGAACACAGCAUGGGAAAAGCCAGUGUAUCUGACAUGCCAGGACCUAAGAACACAGGACUUUCAAUCGGUGUCCAUCACUCUCCAUUGCCUCUGCUGCAAUGUCCUUUCAGCUGGAAUGUCACAGAGGCUCCUUCUGGAAGGCACGUGGGGAGCAGUCACUGGGCUGCAUGGUCUAGUCAAGUCCUGGGAUGUCCUCUGGUCACUGCUUGGCCUUCUUCACAAUGGUGCCCACAGCAGAAAUGGUGGUGGUCUUGGAGCUGCUGGCACUGGUGGUGACAGUGACCGCUGCUGGCAGCGUGGCUGUGGUAGUAAGGAUGGUGGAUUGUGCUAUUAUUGUCACUGGAAUGGCAGAGUCCCACUUGCUCUUUCUCUUUUGGGCAUCUGCAACAGCUGUGCAGGCAGUAGUGGUGGUGGUAGCUGAGGCAUUGGUCAUGGUGCCUUUCUUGGUGCCCGGCACAAACUCAAUUUUGGUUUGCUACUUUUUGGCGAUUUCCAAUUUGUCCAUUUCAAUCUUCUAGGCCUUAGCUAGCUCCUCAUAGUAGGAAUCUUCAGACCAUCCAUGCGGGUCAAAUAUAUCCUUUGGAUAGUUGGUGCCCAGCUCAUCAAUGGCACAGAACUGGAUCAGUUUCUCAUAGAUGCUGGGGUUCUGGAACGCCUUCUUCCUUUGGAUGAUAUAGUUCAUAUCCAUUCCCUCCUUUGUCUUUUGAUUAUAAAGCUUCUGGGUCUUAUCUUGCAGGUGAUUUGAACAUCUGCUGGGUGGUUAUGGUGGGAUCUUGAUUUUACCAGAUGACAUGUUUCAGACCCUUUCAGAAAAGGAGGCCACUAAUUCCUGGGGAUCCCUCUUCUCUACUUGUGUAUUAUCCUUUGAGUCAUCAGCCUCAGGUUUUUCAGUCUCUGAAUCAUCAUCUUCCAACUGCUUGCUGUUCUCACCCUCAUCUUCUUCAUAACCAUCUUCACCCCCUAGGCAGGAGAAGUCAUCUUCUCCUCAGGCAUCAGACACCAGGCCACCUUUCUCUUCAGCCGCGCCGCCCACAGCGUCAACUCAAGCUUCAUCAUCAGGUUCAGGCUCUGAGUCUUCUGCAUAAACUGCAAUAGACAACAAAACGUUCUUCCCCACCAUCUUAUUCCCUCAGGACGGUGUGGCCCUGAGAAAGUUUUUUAUUCCUUUCUAUGGAUGGGGCCAGACUUCAAAGAGACCACAUGUCAAGAUGUUCCCUGUUCCAACAUGAUUUCAUUUCACCUGAGAACCAAACCUGUCCCAUGAGGCCUUCAAGCAUGCUCCACAGAUUUGCUUGGAGUGAAUUUAUCCCUUCCAAAUCAACUAGAACCUAAAGGCUUUGUGAAUUCCAGCCUAAUGUCAUGUUGCCAUCAGCAAUAAUGCUGAUCAGGACAAUUAUUCUCCCUCAGAAGCCUUAAGCUCUCUAUAUAGCGCUGUUCCAGGCCACCAUGUCCUGUCUAGCAUUUUGAACCCAUGCUGUCUCUAGCAGUUUCCCACCAGACAUCACAGCUCCUUCUGGCAGGAACACUUGUCUCUCUGCUAUUUUAAUUUGAAUUUUACUGAUAACCCCAUGGAUGAGAACCACACACACACUGCUUAUUUGUAUCAAUUACACAUCUUUCUCUUGGAGUUGCUCUUUUAAAUAGAAUGAAUCACUUGUACAUACUAGACAUUAAUCUGGUACGUUUUAGAGAUUGGAAAGCCUGUCCUAUUUGCCACAUACAGUUAAAAUUGUGAAAGGGCUUCCAUACCAUUUUAUUAGUCACAGUGAAUAAUGUAAGUGCCUUUGAUAAGUCUAGUUUUCAGAAAAAUAAACUCAGCCUCACAGAUACUAUUUCCCUAGACAGUCAAGUAGAGAGGUAAGAAUCAAAUUCAGGCCACAUAUUCUGACUAGUGGAAUUGGUGCUGUGAUGGUCCUCUUCAAGACCAAACUAUGAGAAAACCUGACAAAUGGUCGUGACCUGAGCCCAGGGUCAUACAGUCAUUCUUGGUCUGGCCCAGCACUUACUAAAUUUGAAUUGAGGAUUAUUAAAGGAAGGAGAUUCUGUUUCAUUAAAAUUUGAUUCAAAUUUUAGGUCAAAUUCAUAAGAAAAAAUUUAAGGUUUUGUUCAAUCUCAUGUAGUCUCUUUUUUUCAUUCUGUGACUACAGUCUGAAUUGCUUGUUCAGAACACACCUGAGGCCACCGUGUGCCCUGUGCCACAGUACAUACUCCUUUUAUAUCUUCCUGGGGAGUGUGGAAACAUCUGGUGUCAAGGAGCCCUGCUUUGUUUGGUCUUGCAGAAACCACCCUUUUAAAACCAGUGGGAUGGCUUGUAGAGAAAUCUCAGUUAAAAAUGGACUUGUCAUGCAAGCAUGAGAACAUGAUUUCAAUUCCCAAUACUCAAGGGGUGGGGGGAAUCCAGGUAUGGAAGUGUGUACCUAUAAAUCCUAGAAUGGGGGAAACAGAGAUCUUUGUGAUUUUCUGACUAGUCAAUUUAUGAGGGGCCAGGUUUAGUGAGAGACCUGUCUCAAAAAAAUUAAUAAGGUGGAGAGCAGUUAAAGACAUUUCAUUGACCCCUGGUUUCUGCAUGCAUGUGUGCACACAUAUGUACACACAUGUACACAUACACACAUGAACAUACACAAACAAAAACACUUCAGACAUUGAGGCCA